UGGGGAAUCUUGGACAAUGGGCGAAAGCCUGAUCCAGCAAUGCCGCGUGAGUGAUGAAGGCCUUAGGGUUGUAAAGCUCUUUUACCAGGGAUGAUAAUGACAGUACCUGGAGAAUAAGCUCCGGCUAACUCCGUGCCAGCAGUCGCGGUAAUACGGAGGGAGCUAGCGUUGUUCGGAAUUACUGGGCGUAAAGCGUACGUAGGCAGUGACUCAAGUCAGAGGUGAAAGCCUGGAGCUCAACUCCAGAACUGCCUUUGAAACUAGGUCGCUAGAAUCACGGAGAGGUGAGUGGAAUUCCGAGUGUAGAGGUGAAAUUCGUAGAUAUUCGGAAGAACACCAGUGGCGAAGGCGGCUCACUGGACGUGUAUUGACGCUGAGGUACGAAAGCGUGGGGAGCAAACAGGAUUAGAUACCCCCGUAGUCCCUGAGCGGGCUGGCAAGGCGCAU
rnacentral:rRNA from 1 species